UUGAUAUCUAGGUAUCCCAACUUAUACCAGACUAAAUCAUGGACUUCCAAGACCCAUGCCCCUAGAACCUUGGAGGGGGUAAAUCGCGGGUUAUGCCUCAACUGGAUCACAGGUUCCCCCCAUUGACUGUACACUUCUGCGCACAAGAGACCCUCCUCCACAGUGAUUGCUCCAUACCAAAUUUUUGGCCGCAGGUUCCCACCAGGAAUCGAACUCUCCACCCUACCACUGGAAGCAAGCCAAUGUUGAUUGAUCCACCAGUUGAGCUGUGCCCCGAGGGCAAGUAUUAU
rnacentral:lncRNA from 1 species